rnacentral:hammerhead_ribozyme from 1 species
AUCCAACUGACGAGUCUCAAACAGGACGAAAUGCGCAUCCUGGAU